rnacentral:rRNA from 1 species
UACGAAGGGGCUAGCGUUGCUCGGAAUCACUGGGCGUAAAGCGCACGUAGGCGGUCUUUUAAGUCAGGGGUGAAAUCCUGGAGCUCAACUCCAGAACUGCCUUUGAUACUGAGAGGCUUGAGUCCGGGAGAGGUGAGUGGAACUGCGAGUGUAGAGGUGAAAUUCGUAGAUAUUCGCAAGAACACCAGUGGCGAAGGCGGCUCACUGGCCCGAUACUGACGCUGAGGCACGAAAGCGUGGGGAGCAACAGGG